UGUAUCUGUUGGAUGCUACUGGUUUUAAUACUCCAGGACUUCAUGUUCUUGGAGUUUAUGUUUGUCGUGCAACAGGACAAGAAUUGGUCGCAGGUGCAAGAACUCCUCCCGUCAGUUUUCAUAACCUUUAUGUCCUGGAGCAUAUCUGAGGUUUUAUGAUCUUAAUGUACAUUGCACAAACCUAUCUGGACAUCCGACAACAUGCAUAAGUUCUCUUGUCACUUCCACUUUGUUCAUGAAGGCGUAACAAUUCUGAUGGAGACUACAAUUUUGUUUUUUGGCAUAUUACCUUGGUUCUGGAAGAAAUCUGGAGAGUUGGCAGUGUACAUUGGCUUGAAUGUAGACAAUGAAAUAAUUCA